CCAGAGAACUUAGCAGAGAUGCUUUGGUGCCUUCGGGAACUCUGAGACAGGUGCUGCAUGGCUGUCGUCAGCUCGUGUUGUGAAAUGUUCGGGUUAAGUCCCGCAACGAGCGCAACCCUUAUCCUUUGUUGCCAGCGGCUCGGCCGGGAACUCAAAGGAGACUGCCGGUGAUAAACCGGAGGAAGUGGGGAUGACGUCAAGUCAUCAUGGCCCUUACGGCCAGGGCUACACACGUGCUACAAUGGCGCAUACAAAGAGAAGCGACCUCGCGAGAGCAAGCGGACCUCAUAAAGUGCGUCGUAGUCCGGAUUGGAGUCUGCAACUCGACUCCAUGAAGUCGGAAUCGCUAGUAAUCGUAGAUCAGAAUGCUACGGUGAAUACGUUCCCGGGCCUUGUACACACCGCCCGUCACACCAUGGGAGUGGGUUGCAAAAGAAGUAGGUAGCUUAACCUUCGGGAGGGCGCUUACCACUUUGUGAUUCAUGACUGGGGUGAAGUCGUAACAAGGUAAGCGUAGCGAG
rnacentral:rRNA from 1 species